GGGCGGGACAAUCAACCCCAUUGGCUGAUGUAAUGUCAGACCACGCCAGCUAUUGGUUGCCCAAUUCAUCAACAAAACAACCAUUAAAGGCCUUUUUCACAGUUUUUAACGAUGUUUUAGCACGUUGGGAUAUAUCUUUCUAAGUAAAAUAAAACACAAAAUCUAUUUAUACUUUCCAAUCUGGUGAAACAAACAACAACAAAAAAUAUUAAAUUAACAUCAAUUUCCACUUGUGUUUUUAACACUGGGUUACACUUGCAUCGUUUUUCUGAUUCUUUAUUUCCCAGUCGCUGAUAUUCCUGACUGGAUUCAGUUUGUGGUCGACAGUCACGUGAUUUCCUAUCCAGGUAAAAUCAUGAUGAUGCUAUUAAUGCAAACUGUCCCUCAUUGCAGAACCAAGGGGCUUCAUUAACACCUCAUUCAGAACCAGACUGGAUCAGCCUCCACAACCCAGAACCUGAAACCCGCCUGUCGCCGCCUGGCGGCCGCAGAGCAGGGUCCCAGGGAAAUCCCGGAGAUCAGAGACGGUACCGAAGGCAUCUUGCAAAAAGCUUCACUUGUUGCUAGGAAACCGAACCUCUGCGUUACUUUUCUUACCAGCUUCCGGUGUAACUGUUGACACAAAGGCAGCUUAACGGCAACAAAAGAGCGAGGAGAAGUUGGAGCUAAAAUGUUUGGUGUUGCUCGCAGCCCGUUUUCUAGAAGCACACGCUGUUUCUGAGAGCAGAAGAAGAGACUUGGAGCCCCGGAUGUUUCACUUCCUGCUGCGAUGCAGAGUUCAGUCUGACAAGAAGAAGAAGAAGAAGAGGUUGAUGUGGAGGAGCAUCUCCUGGCUGUGACAGCAAAAUGAAGCUGCUUCAGCUGCUCUGCUUCCUCCAGCUGAGCUGGCUCUGUCCAGUUCUUCUUGAUGUUUUCACUCCAGACCCUCUGACAACAGAGACGCCUGAAGAGUUUGACUACGACCCUUACGUUCAUCACCUCGGCAGCACAUGCAGGUGGACUUUCAGGUUGCCUGGAAACAGGAGUGGGGAGGCGGUUCCACUCCCACCGGAUUUUUCAGAGACUUUGUCUGACCAGAUCUGCCAGGACCUUAAAUGUGGAAAAGUUUAUACUGUGAAUAAAACCACGCCGCCUCCCAACACCAAGUGCUACAAGCAGUGUCUUUUCCGGGAUUGGCGUCUGCAGAAGUGCCUGCAGGUGGAGAUGGCAGACUGCAUCGUGGCCACAGAAGUGGUCUGUGGUCAUCACUCUGUCCGGCUGAAGGGACAUGGGGACCAGUGUGCUGGGCGGGUGGAGGUAUGGAAGGACGGGACGUGGGGCACGGUGUGUGACGACAGAUUUGACCUGAAUAAUGGCGACGUGGUUUGCGACCAGCUGGACUGUGGCAUCGCUCUCAGGGUGACGGGUCAGAACGGAUUGUUCCCUCCAGGGAGCGGACCGAUCCACCUAGAAGAGCUGAACUGCACCGGGAACGAGCAGAACCUGUGGUUCUGUCCGGGUGUCCAGGAAAACUCUAAAUGCGGACACAAAGAGGAUGCUGGUGUGGUGUGUUCAGAUUCGAAGGCGUUUUUUGGAGGAACCACAGAAGGUCCGCGUUUCAUUCGUCCUGCAGGCGGUCUGACUUCGCAGCAUUUCAGCAUCAUCUUUCUGUGUAUUGGGCUCCUUGUUCUCGUUGGGCUGAGCUUGGCUUUCUGCCGCGUUUACUGUCAUUGGCACGCAAAGUUGAGAUCGGUGAGGACAACGGAGCAGACGGUUUGAGCAACCUGACGGUUGGAGCAACCUGACGGUUGGAGCAACCUGACGGUUUGAGCAACCUGACGGUUUGAGCAACCUGUGGACGAUGAGGAGGAGACGAUGAAGACCCAAACCUUGAAGACGUGACGACUCUAAAAUGCAGAGUAUUGUUGAAGGUCGUCGGCAUCGCCUCGUCUGCUGAUCUGCUCAGCAUCUGGUUUCUGAUUUGCUGACGGCUUUGAUUGCUGCUGGAGCAGAAGAUCAAUCCCACAAUCCACUGCGUCUCCCACUUCCAGCAGCAGGAAGAGGAGGAGCGUCAGACGGAAACGCCUCAGGAUCUGCUGCUUUCUGAAGCCACGCGUCUGGAGAGGACCGCAGCGCUUCCUCACUUUCACUGCAUGCCUCCUCUGCACAACAACAACCCGAAGCCAGACGGUCCGACAGAUAAUCAGAAAAUGGAAAUGAAGAACGAUAUCCAGGGAAAACCGACAACUGGCAAGAAACCAGACUUUGUCGCAUGAAAAGGAAAACUGGGGUGAAAAUUCUCAAGGCCUUCAGAAAGAAGUUAAAUCUCAACAGGAAAUCUGCCUCCAAUUUUCCUAAAUACCACAGAUGAAGAUCUAACAAGAUCUCAUGAUUACUUCUUGGAUAGAUUUCAGUUUCAAAGCAACAUUCAUUGUUUCUGAAUCUGUUGCUUUCAUUCCUCCAUCUUCAUCACUUUUCACUGCAUUUCUUCUUUUGUCAGGAAAGUGAAGUUUGUUUCUCCUGAUGAAGUUAAAGCUUCAUUUUGAUGUUUUGCAGGAUAAAUAAAAGUUUCCA